AAUAUUGCACAAUGGGCGAAAGCCUGAUGCAGCAACGCCGCGUGAGGGAUGAAGGCCUUCCGGUCGUAAAGCUCUUUUAUCAGGGAUGAGAAGAGCAGUACCUGAAAAACAAGCCACGCCCAACUAAGUCCCAGCCGCCGCGGUAAUACGUAGGUGGCGAGCGUUGUCCGGAACUACUGGGCGGAAAGGAAGGGUAGGUGGAUAUGUAAGUGGGAUGUGAAAUCCCCGGGCUCAACCCGGGAACUGCAUUCCAAACUGGGUAUCUAGAGUGCAGGAGGGGAAAGCGGAAUUCCUAGUGUAGCGGUGAAAUGCGUAGAUAUUAGGAGGAACACCAGUGGCGAAGGCGGCUUUCUGGACUGUAACUGACACUGAGGCAUGAAAGCGUGGGUAGCAAACAGG
rnacentral:rRNA from 1 species